rnacentral:rRNA from 1 species
UACGUAGGGUGCAAGCGUUGUCCGGAAUUAUUGGGCGUAAAGAGCUCGUAGGCGGUCUGUCGCGUCUGCUGUGAAAACUCAGGGCUUAACCCUGAGCUUGCAGUGGGUACGGGCAGACUAGAGUCCGGUAGGGGAGCAGGGAAUUCCUGGUGUAGCGGUGAAAUGCGCAGAUAUCAGGAGGAACACCGGUGGCGAAGGCGCUGCUCUGGGCCGGUACUGACGCUGAGGAGCGAAAGCGUGGGUAGCAAACAGG